AUUGAACGCUGGCGGCAUGCUUUACACAUGCAAGUCGAACGGUAACAGGCCGCAAGGUGCUGACGAGUGGCGAACGGGUGAGUAAUGCAUCGGAACGUGCCCAGUCGUGGUGGAUAACUACUCGAAAGAGUAGCUAAUACCGCAUACGAUCUAUGGAUGAAAGCGGGGGACCGCAAGGCCUCGCGCGAUUGGAGCGGCCGAUGUCAGAUUAGGUAGUUGGUGGGGUAAAGGCUCACCAAGCCAACGAUCUGUAGCUGGUCUGAGAGGACGACCAGCCACACUGGAACUGAGACACGGCCCAGACUCCUACGGGAGGCAGCAGUGGGGAAUUUUGGACAAUGGGCGCAAGCCUGAUCCAGCAAUGCCGCGUGCAGGAAGAAGGCCUUCGGGUUGUAAACUGCUUUUGUACGGAACGAAACGGCUCUGGUUAAUACCCGGGGCUAAUGACGGUACCGUAAGAAUAAGCACCGGCUAACUACGUG
rnacentral:rRNA from 1 species